rnacentral:rRNA from 1 species
GACGAACGCUGGCGGCGGGCUUAACACAUGCAAGUCGAACGGAAAGGCCCUGCUUUUUUGGUGUUCUCGAGUGGCGAACGGGUGAGUAACACGUGAGUAACCUGCCCUUGACUUUGGGAUAACUUCAGGAAACUGGGGCUAAUACCGGAUAGGAGCUCCUGCUGCAUGGUGGGGGUUGGAAAUUUUCGGCGGUUGGGGAUGGACUCGCGGCUGAUCAGCUUGUUGGUUGGGUAGUGGCUUACCAAGGCUUUGACGGGUAGCCGGCCUGAGAGGGUGACCGGCCACAUUGGGACUACGAUACGGACCAGACUCCAACGGGAGGCAGCAGUGGGGAAUAUUGCACAAUGGGAGGAAGCCUGAUGAAGAAACGCCGCGUGCGGGAUGCCGGCCUUCGGGUUGUAAACAGCUUUCGCCUGUGACGACGCGUGACUGACGGUAAUGGGUAAAGAAGCACCGGCUAACUACGUG